GAGAGGCUCUGUUGGGAUUUUGAGAAAUGAGAAUGCUGCCUUCAGGCAGAGAGGACGGGAGAGAGCUUUGCAGAAGGUGGGCAAGCGUGUCGAGGAGAGCCCAAGCCUAGAAGCUGGAGGUGGACCUGUUUUGUGGGAGCAGGGCAUCCACAGAGAGAAAUUCAGUGGAAAAUAAGGGCUAAGGCCACAAAAAGAGAGCCUUUAAAGAGGUUAUUCUAACAGUAAGAUUCGUAAAAGCAGUUUACUGGGUACUGCUUCUCAAACUUGAAUGCAGCCGUGGGUUCUCUUUGGACCUGGUUAAAAAUGCAGAUUUCAAUUUAGUUGGUCUGGACUGGGGCCAUAUAUUCUGGAUGUCUAAGAUGUUGCUAGCGCCAGGACCUCACCUUGAAUAGGAAGAGAUGGAGGACUAUGAGAAAAACGGUGAAGAUCUGAUUGGAAAACAUGGUAUCAACAGAUUUGACAGCAACACUGGAAGAGAUUGAAAGUCUCAGAACAGCAUAACAAGUAAGCCACAAUUACUUUGCAUUUCCCAUCACAGUAUAGCAGUGCUUGACAGUGUCCAUUAAAGUCUUCUCUGUUUCCACACUUCUCACUAGUUUGCCCCAGUGGUG
rnacentral:lncRNA from 10 species